GCUCAGGUGUGACAGCGCAGGUGUGACAGCGCAGGUGUCACAUGGGGGUGACCCCAGACCGGGGCAUCCUCCCUGUCUGUCCGAGUGUCCGAGUGUCCGAAUGUCCAAAUGUCCGAGUGUCCGUCCGUCAGGGGAAGCAGGGGGUGGGGGCGGGGCCUGCACGCCCCUGGGCUCAGGUGUGUGCUCGGAAUGGGCGGGAACACCUGUGCAGGUGGGGGGCGGGGCCACAGGUGGGAGGGCGUGUGCAAAGGGGGGCACCUGGGUGUGCAAAGGGGGGCACCUUGGUGUGUGGGGGGGUUGAGUUUGUGGGGCAGGUGUGAGUUCAGGUGUGUGUGAGUUCAGGUGUGUGUGCGCACCUGUGACUGUGUGUGUGUCAGCAGCUCCUGUCCAGGUGUGUGUGAACAGUUCAGGUGUGUGCACACCUGUGCAGGUGUGUCUGUGUUUGUGUGUGUGUGUGCACCUGUUCAGGUGUAUGAGCAGCUCCCGUACCCACGUGUUCCCUGCCGUGAGCAGCCUGGCACGUUCCUUGCUCACACGUGUGUGCAACACCCGCAUCCCCCUACACCUGUGUGUGUGCACUCCCUCACACCUGUGCGUGUGCACUCCCCACA